AGUAAAACAGUACGUGAAAUUGUUGAAAGGGAAACGAUUGAAGUCAGUCAUGCCGGCGUUGGAUUCAGCUUGCUUCGCGGAGCUUGCGCAUUUCCUCGCAUGGCAGGUCAGCGUCAGUUUUGCGCGGCGUGAAAAGGCUCGGGUAAGGUAGCUCUCUUCGGGGAGUGUUAUAGACCUGGGCAAAUGCGCAGCGCGGGACUGAGGAUUGCAGCGGACACCUCUUCGGGGGCGCGGCGACCGAACCCUGCUCGGCCACCCUCGUUCGAUAGCGUGCUAGCGGACGCGGGAGCGGCAGUGCACCGGAACAGGCAAGCCAGCGGUUCGCUUAGGAUGCUGACGUAAUGGCUUUAAA
rnacentral:misc_RNA from 1 species